rnacentral:rRNA from 1 species
CCUACGGGAGGCUGCAGUGAGGAAUAUUGGACAAUGGACGAGAGUCUGAAGCAGCCAAGUAGCGUGAAGGAUGACUGCCCUAUGGGUUGUAAACUUCUUUUAUAUGGGAAUAAAAUGUUCCACGUGUGGGAUUUUGUAUGUACCAUAUGAAUAAGGAUAGGCUAACUCCGUGCCAGCAGCCGAGGUAAUACGGAGGAACCGAGCGUUAUCCGGAUUUAUUGGGGUUAAAGGGAGCGUAGGUGGAUUGUUAAGUCAGUUGUGAAAGUUUGCGGCUCAACCGUAAAAUUGUAGUUGAAACUGGCAGUCUUGAGUACAGUAGGGGUGGGCGUAAUUCUUGGUGUAGCGGUGAAAUGCUUAGAUAUCACGAAGAACUCCGAUGGCGAAGGCAGCUCACUGGACUGCAACUGACACUGAGGCUCGAAAGUGUGGGUAGCAAACAGGAUUAGAUACCCCUGUAGUC